GGGGGAGAAGAGGAAGAGAGGAAAGUGAGGGAGAGAAGAGGAAGACAAUACCUCAGAAGACCAAUUUCUCGAUGUGCAGUAGCCUCUAAAAUAGAGCAUAAGGCCUAAGUUUCGUACAAAACAAACUCUAUAGAUGGAAAAAAACCGAGGGGACGCAAAUAAUGAUUGCAGACUUGUAAAGUUGGGGGAUUCAACAAGUCAAAAUAAUGUUGGAUACGGAUUGAGAGAAAGAAAUAAUACGAGUAAACGGCAAUAAAGAAUAACGAGAGGAAAAUCAGCAACAGUCGAAGACGGAAGAAACGUUACAUAUACACACACACACACAGAUACAUAUAGAAAGAACAGAAUGAUAACGAAGACGAAAGAAGGAAGACGAAAGCGGAGGAAUGAGCACGGCAAAAAAAAGAAAGAAAAGGGGGGGAAAGGAAGUAUGAAGGAAAGUGGGAGGAAUGAAGAUGUAUAAGGGUGGCUGACAGUGGUUUGAGGUGGAAGAAACGAUACGAUGGUUUUGGUUCACAAGAAUACUGUUGACAACGAACGUCGAUUCUACGCGAAUGAAUAGAAUAAAUAAAUAUAGUGUAUCAUUAGAUUAUUGCUGGUGCUUACAGACACUGACUGCGUUGCGGAGGGGGAGUUAUUGCAGUUUUUACAGUGCGUCACCGGCAAAAACUAAAAAAA